CCCUUUUCUUUCUGAUAUGCUUCAUUUUGCCCUAAUUUCUUCGGCGGACAGACGCAAAACAAAACACAACACACAGACACCGUCUCUCUCUUCUCUCUCAAAUUCUACCCUACCCAUCGUGCGACGAUCUACACCGAACGGCGAUCGAUCUAUACUAAACGCCGAUUGAUCUACACUAAACGGCGAUCAACACUGAGAUUACAACACAGCCGAUUCGGAAAGCUGCAGAGGUUAUAUUGUCUCCAUUUGACCUUUCUUGCCAGGUUAGUUUUGUAGAUUACCUAAUUAUUCAUGCUUCUCUAUUUAGGAACUCUGUUUCUUUGUUGUUUUCUUUAUUGUAUUGAUUUCAAAAGAAAAAAUUACUGGCUAAAACUUGCUCUAGCUUAUUGAUGUUGAAAUAGCUAUAUACUUCUAGAAUUGAUAAUUUGCUAGGCCUAGAAAGCUUAAGGAUUAUGUGUGUAUGUACAGUUAAGCCUUAAUUUCCUUGGUGAAAGCUUACCACUCUGUUUUUAGACU